GAGACCAAAGUGCCCUUUGGUAUAUAAAGCAACACUUGGGAAUUUCCCCUCCCAUUCCACAUCUGGCAUACUCGUCGACACCCAGAAGAGAGGCAAAGAGAGAGAAAGAAAGAGAGAGAAAGAGAGGGAGAGAGAGAUACAAUGACAAUGAUGGAGAAUGGUGGUGAGAUCAUGUAAUCGCGACCACGAUCGAGAUCUUGACACCAAGACCUUCGUUUUUUUUGCUGAAGAUCGCGUGGUAGAAACUUCUUAACCGUUCAACCCUUGAAGAUCGUUGCUUCUUGACGCUAAUAGAGAUGUUCAUGAAGUUUGGGCAUUUUUUUGUGAGCUAAUUGAACAUAUGAAGGCCAACUUUUUGUAUAUUGUAGUAUAGUGCUAAUGUGGUAGUAUACUUGGACACCACAAAAUGUAAAAAGCAAAUUACCAACAGUUUUUUUUGGCCUUGUCUUGGAUACCACUUUUUUGUAUAGCAGUAUAGGCCAAGAUGGAUUCAGUACUUUUGUGACCCAGUAUUGGAUACAACUUUUUGUAUAGCCCUGUUAUGUAAUUUGGUUGACAGUAAACUUGGAACUAAUGCUUUGACUGAUAUUUGGAUGAAUGAAAUUUGCAUAUGAUGGGAA